rnacentral:rRNA from 1 species
UACGUAGGGGGCGAGCGUUGUUCGGAAUUACUGGGCGUAAAGGGCUCGUAGGCGGCCAACUAAGUCAGACGUGAAAUCCCUCGGCUUAACCGGGGAACUGCGUCUGAUACUGGAUGGCUUGAGGUUGGGAGAGGGAUGCGGAAUUCCAGGUGUAGCGGUGAAAUGCGUAGAUAUCUGGAGGAACACCGGUGGCGAAGGCGGCAUCCUGGACCAAUUCUGACGCUGAGGAGCGAAAGCCAGGGGAGCAAACGGG